rfam:Myotis lucifugus cont2.10293, whole genome shotgun sequence.
AUUUAUAUGGAUAUGCUAGUGACCAAAAAUAACCAACAAAAUUUAAAAUAGAAGAAAAAUGUAACAUGCUACAUGAAAGGAGUUCUCAGGGCUGCCAACCUUACAGUAGAAGUUGAGUAGUAGUAUAUUUCUUCUACAUAG